AGUGAACGCUGGCGGUAGGCCUAACACAUGCAAGUCGAACGGCCGCACAGUAAGCGCUUGCUCUUACGGGUGGCGAGUGGCGGACGGGUGAGGAAUACAUCGGAAUCUACUUUUUCUUGGGGGAUAACGUAGAGCAACUUACGCUACUACCGCAUACGACCUACCGGUGAAAGCAAGAGAUAUUCGCACCUUGCGCGAUUGAAUUAGCCGAUGUCGGAUUAGCUAGUUGGGGGGGUAAAGGCCCACCAAGGCGACGAUCCGUAGCUGGCCUGAGAGGAUGAUCAGCCACACUGGAACUGAGACACGGUCCAGACUCCUACGGGAGGCAGCAGUGGGGAAUAUUGGACAAUGGGCGAAAGCCUGAUCCAGCAAUACCGCGUGGGUGAAGAAGGCCUUCGGGUUGUAAAGCUCUGUUGUUGGGAAAGAAAAGAAGUAGGUUAAUACCUGGCUGUUCUGACGGUACCCAAAGAAUAAGCACCGGCUAACUUCGUG
rnacentral:rRNA from 1 species